rnacentral:lncRNA from 14 species
ACACCGUUAAUUUGCGUGCACAUACAGGAAUUGUUCUUCUGUAUAGGUAUUUUUAUGGUAUGAUAUAUAUCAAUAUGACACAUCCACAACUUCUCUCCUAGGAAAGAAUCUCAGAGUCUGAACCUUGAGAAACUGGUGGAAUGACAACACAGGAGGAUUUAGUCAACAUCUUUCAUGCAAGGACUGUCUUACACCGUCCUUUGAUUAGUGCUGUGAUCAAUGGCAGUGAAGGUGGUUAUGUUGGAAAAAGAUGUCCUGAAAACUGGUUUUCUGGUGUGUGCCUAAGUAUUAAGAUUCUGCAGGGCAGAAGGCAUGUAUUAGGAAUGGCGGCCACAAAUCCAAUGAGCUCAACCUGGCUAAUUGCUUUUGUUAGCUGAAGUACUCACCUCUUUCUGGUCUUCUCCAUGAAAGUGAGAAUGAAGUUGUUCCUAAAGAGUCAAGUAAGGAAGAAGCUAAACUCCACAAGGAAACAUAGCUGAAGCUAAACCUAUAUAUGCUGUUAUCUUUGUGUGUGCAUUUCCUCAUUCAAAUGUUUUUUGUAUCACCUUAACAGAGAAAAAAAAA